GAGGGUCACUUAAUUUGAUCUAACCGUUAAAACUAUACUAACGUUCCGCGAAAACUGCGUUUAGCAAUUUACCCGGGCGGACGAAAACUCUCCCAACGAAACGUCCUGCGCCCCGCGUUACCCCAAUCCAAAUCCAAGGAAGAAAAACGCAACCCAUCGCACACGAACCAUCGUUAGCGGUGGAAGUUAGGGUUAGGGCGCCGCCGCGCUCCCCUAUCCCUUUGGCCAUAAUCCGUCCUGCUGCCCCUCUCACUGCUGCUCCACCGCCGCCCCAUGCUCCACCCGAUCCGCCGCCACAGCGCGACCGUAGCCCGGUCUUGCCUUGCCGUCCACCCGCAUAUCUCCUCCCUCGGGUUCUGGCAAGCUGCAUCCACAACCACGGUGAACUGCCAUGGGUGCGGCCAAUCCGAGCUCGGUUCAGGGCUUCAGGCAGGCCAACCAAGUCUCGACGGUGGAGCGGGCCAGCCCAGUGGCGUCGGACGCUGCCAGUCUCGGCCGUUGCGUGAUUGUGCGUAUGACGCUCGGCAUGUCCCUAUAAGUGCCAGCUACUGGUGGUCCCCGCCCCCACGGUUCGCGCUCAUGGAGGAGAGCCUGUUCUUCCUGGAGGCCUGGUGAACACAUGGGAUAUGACAUAUGCUGCAACCUUGAGUGAUCCAUCCACUCGAUUCUUGAAACCGUUUGCGUUUUGUGAAGUCUGGCACACAAGGUGCCCUCAUGGGUGCAAUCAAGUAGAUCCCAUCAGCAUUUUGAUCUCUCCAAAUUGUUGCACAUGUAGGGUUGCAACACAAGUAACUACAUGUGAAUUGGAACUAUAAGAUAUGUGUAUUCCAAUUUGAAAUUCUAUUACGAGUGCAUUGCAUGUGCAUACUAGCUGCGGGUCGAAGUCAUGAGGCACGUGCAUACUAGCUGCACGUCCACUGCUCCAAUGCGCCUUGCACACUCAACCGGUAUCGUUUCUGGGGUCGUCGCCCUGACAUAUCAAUGCAUAUAUGUGCGUUGCACAUGCACGCUUACUAGUCUAGACAGAGCAGACACGUAACUUAUCCGCUAAGCUCCCCAAUUCAGAAACAAGCGGUACGACUAUCUGCUUAUAUUUCCAAAACUGCUCAAGUUAUCUUAAGUUACUAAGAAACAAAAACCUAGCCAAAUCUGCACGUGAAAAUGACCGUCAUCAGCCACUUGCUUAAGACUUUCAUUUCAAGCAUCAGUUCACAUACCAAAAGAACAGCAAAACCUAUCGUAUGUCACCAAGCAAAUUAUCAGUGCUCAAAAACAAGUAGAACAAUUUUCUUCUUUUAUUUCCAAAAUCAACCCAGUAAUCCUGAUGAUCAAAAAACACCUUAAUCACCAAACAACAUCUUCCCAACUUAAAUGGUUUUGGAACAGGUGCUGGCUGGAGGGGACAAGAGGCGGAGUGGUGUCUCAUCUUCAGCAUUGCCGGCAGUGGGUCUCGGCGGCGUGGUGCACUAGGGUAUCGGUGCUGGAAGUGUGUUGAUAGGAACACGCAGGAGGGCAGCGCGGUGCGGCGUCGUGGUGGAGUCGACAGCAGAAGGGCGUGGCAAGGUCUAUGCAUGGAUUACUCCUAAAGAUGAGACGGCAGAAGAUGGCGGGGGCAGAUUGCUGAGCGUGCACAUGCGGUGUGCACUCAGGAUUUGCUAGACCGGUUGGUGAUCCUGGCUAGCCGGCGGGCGGCUUGGUGAGGCCACCGGGAUACUCGGUAUGGCACGGGGUCAGGACACAUCAUCAAGCUCGUAGGUAGGGCGACUCUGUGCGCCAGGAUGGUGGCUUUGGGUUGACUAGUGUAUGUACUUUGUAAGGCUAUGUUGAAUAAUAUAAUAAAGAUGGUUGUGUGCAUCGUUUGAUGCACAGACCAUGGGUUAUCCUCCUUUUCAAAAAAAAAUCCCCAACUUAAGAAAGAAACAAGGGGUACAACUUUCUGUAUACAUAUUCCAGAAUUUCUACAGUGAUCUUAAUACACAAACGCCAUCUCUACACAGAGCAUCCACAUAUAUUCUCGUCCAAGCUCCCAAAAUCAAUCAGCGCGAAUUUCUUUAUACUCCCUCCAUUUUUAUAUACAAGGCCACAAACUCAUAUUACAAGAUGAAUUUCUGAGUAUAUUUCCAAAAUUGCUCUAGUAAUCUUAAGGUUUGAAUAACCAAAACGUCUAUGCACAUAUCAGUAUCACAAUUUUCUCCCCUAAUGUCCUCAAUUCAAGUUUCAAACCCAAACUUUAGCAACAAAUUCCCGUAUUUCAUCUGCCGAAACCUCUGUUCGACUAACAAAUCGUCUCCUCCACGCAAAUGAGACAAAAUCGACAAAAUAAAAGGAGGGGGAAGGAGCAACCCAGAUGCCUAGACGCCGGAACCCAUCCUCCACACCCAGACCCGCCACCAAACCAUCCCGGGGUAAAUUCCACUCCCACCGGACGGGAAGCACGAGCCAAACUAGAUCCCAGAAACCUCAGCGCUCCACGGGGCAAACCUGGGUUCAGAGAGCUCACCUUGGCGCGACGGAGUGAUCUACACGGAGGGGGAGACGGCCCGAGUAACGAAUCUCUGGUGCCGGGUAAGGCUCCGGCUCUGCCGACGACGUUGACGAGGAGGAGCUCGGGAAGCAAAAGA